AUUGAACGCUGGCGGCAGGCUUAACACAUGCAAGUCGAGCGGAGAGAGGUAGCUUGCUACUGAUCUUAGCGGCGGACGGGUGAGUAAUGCUUAGGAAUCUGCCUAUUAGUGGGGGACAACAUUUCGAAAGGAAUGCUAAUACCGCAUACGUCCUACGGGAGAAAGCAGGGGAUCUUCGGACCUUGCGCUAAUAGAUGAGCCUAAGUCGGAUUAGCUAGUUGGUGGGGUAAAGGCCUACCAAGGCGACGAUCUGUAGCGGGUCUGAGAGGAUGAUCCGCCACACUGGGACUGAGACACGGCCCAGACUCCUACGGGAGGCAGCAGUGGGGAAUAUUGGACAAUGGGCGGAAGCCUGAUCCAGCCAUGCCGCGUGUGUGAAGAAGGCCUUAUGGUUGUAAAGCACUUUAAGCGAGGAGGAGGCUACUUUAGUUAAUACCUAGAGAUAGUGGACGUUACUCGCAGAAUAAGCACCGGCUAACUCUGUGCCAGCAGCCGCCGUAA
rnacentral:rRNA from 1 species